rfam:Ictidomys tridecemlineatus contig007421, whole genome shotgun sequence.
GGGGAUGUGGCUCAGUGGUAGAGCACUUGCUUAGCAUGUGUGAGGCACUGGGUUCGAUUCUCAGCACCA